UCCCCGUUAACCAGGGCGGUCUCCUGAGACAUAGGUAACUCAGGACAAGGGUUUCGCUCGUUGAGGCACUUAAGCCUACACCUCACGGCACGAGCUUACGACAGCCAUGCAACACCUGUCACCGGUCCAGCCGAACUGACUCUCUUGUUUCCAAGAGAUACGACCGGGAUGUCAAGCCUUGGUAAGGUUCUUCGCGUACCAUCGAAUUAAGCCACAUGUUCCACCGCUUGUGCGGGACCCCGUCUAUUCCUUUGAGUUUUAAGCUUGCGCUCGUACUCCCCAGGCGGGAUGCUUAACGCGUUAGCUUCGCUUCUCAGGGGGUCGAUCCCCAAAAAACUAGCAUCCAUCGUUUAGGGCGUGGACUAC
rnacentral:misc_RNA from 1 species